ensembl:snRNA predicted gene, 22098
AGCUUUGCACAGUGGGAGUAUCAUAGUCAAUGAAGUUUAUCUAAGGUGUAAUUAUUGCUAAUUGAAAACUUUUCUCCUGGUCUGG